rnacentral:rRNA from 1 species
AUUGAACGCUGGCGGCAUGCCUUACACAUGCAAGUCGAACGGCAGCACGGGAGCAAUCCUGGUGGCGAGUGGCGAACGGGUGAGUAAUAUAUCGGAACGUGCCCGGUCGUGGGGAUAACGUAGCGAAAGCUACGCUAAUACCGCAUACGAUCUACGGAUGAAAGCGGGGGAUCGCAAGACCUCGCGCGAUUGGAGCGGCCGAUAUCAGAUUAGGUAGUUGGUGAGGUAAAGGCUUACCAAGCCGACGAUCUGUAGCUGGUCUGAGAGGACGACCAGCCACACUGGGACUGAGACACGGCCCAGACUCCUACGGGAGGCAGCAGUGGGGAAUUUUGGACAAUGGGCGCAAGCCUGAUCCAGCAAUGCCGCGUGCAGGAUGAAGGCCUCGGUUGUAAC